AUGAGCAACGAAAUCAUCCGGCUGUGCUGUCGGGACAUCUCCCUGGAUCGCAUCUUCGAGGGCUACGUGGCGUCCAGCAAGGAGGGGCUCUACGGCUGCAUAGCCUGCUGUCGGGCCUGGAAGGACUCCUACCUCCAGGCCGUCCAGCUGCACACCCGGUUCUCGUCGCGGGGCUGGGUCCUGGAUCAGACGAGCAUCUUCGCCCAGGUCGACGCCUUCGUGCAGCGCUGCAAGGACCUCAUCGAGGUGCGGGGGGGGGGGGGGGGAGGACCGAGGCCAGGGGCCCCCUCCCCAGCCCCGGACCUCUGGCGGGAGCCGCCUCCCGGCACUCCGGUGACUCAAGUCACCGCAUCGGAGCCCUCCCUCGGGCGCUCGCCGGGUGCAGAGCACUGUUGGGCGCGUUCGGGGGAGGACAGCCCAGCCCGCACGUUUGGCUCGUCUAGCGCCCGCUUGCUCGCCGUGCCGCAGACCCGUCUAUCUCGCCACCGACCCCUUUCCCCCCGCCUUCCCGCUCCGUAUGCUCCGGGUCACCCCCCCCCCCACCCCACCUUCUAAACCUUAUUAAGGUCACGUCUCCUCCAAGAGGCCUUCCCUGAUUAUGCCCGGCUCCCUCUCCCUUUUGCAUCCCCUGAGCACUCAGUUCCGUCUCCUCUGAGCACUCGAUAUUCACCUCACCCACGUCCGCGCGGCACUUGGGCCCGAAGCCGUCAUUUAUUUUAAUACCCGUGGCCCCCUGUAGAUCGUAAUCUCCUUGCGGACAGGGGGUACGCGGACCGAUUCUGUCCCGUGGGGCCCCUCCGAUCAGCGACACGAUCAGUCGGUCGUAUUUAUUGAGCGUCUGCUGUGUGCGGAGCACUGGAGUGAGCACUUGGGAGAGUCCGGAACGACGGAGUCGGUAGACACGUUCCUCGCCCACGGGGAGGUUCCCGUCUAGAAGGGCAGACAGACGUUAAUGUGAAUAAAUAUAUCUUAAUUCAUUCAAUAGUAUUUAUUGAGUGAUUACUGCGCGCAGAGCACUUGGAAUAUGCAGUUUAAUGUCCGUCCCCGCUCUCUCCCGAGCACUCAGUCCAGAGUGCCGCGCGGGGUAAGCGCUCUGUAAAUAUCGCCGAUCGAUGUAUGAAUGGACAACGCGACGAGAGGCAGCGUGGCCUGGCGGAAAGAGCCCGGGCCUGGGAGUCAGAGGUCCCGGGUUCUAAUCCCCACUCCGCCGCUUGUCUGCUGAGCGACCUCGGGCCGGUCAUCUCACUUCUCUGGGCCUCAGUGACCUCAUCUGUAAAACGGGGAUUCAGACCGGGACCCCAGGGACCCGGGCCGUGUCCAGCCAGAUUAGCUUGAACCUGCCCCGGCGCUCGGUACAGUGCCUGGCACGUAAUGAGCGCUUAAACCCGCCCGCCCUCCGGGGACUGUCCCCGCUCACCCCUCCGUGGACCCCGAACCCUCUUAAGUCUCUGGCCGUGCCCUCUCACCCCGUCCCGCCCCCCCCCAACGCCAGGCGCCCCGGGAGCCCCGGAGCCCGGGUCUUCCGGUCUCCUCCACCCGGCCCCGACGGGAGCGCUGACGCCCGCUCCCCGGGUCCGGCGCAGGUGUGCGACUGCCAGUAUCACUUUGCCCGCUGGGAGGAUGGCACCCAGGGCCCGCUGCCCUGCUUCUCCGGGGCCCAGGGCCCCCAGGUCAGCCGGAACCUGCUGGAGAUCGAGGACAUCUUCCACAAGAACCUGAUGACGCUGCGGGCCGUGCACGGCGGCAUCCUGGACGUCAAGAACACCUCCUGGCACGAGGACUACAACCGGUGCGCCCCUUCCCCGACCGGGGCGGGGGGGGGGGCGUCCGGGCC
rnacentral:lncRNA from 1 species